rnacentral:rRNA from 1 species
AAGACCUUGCACUUUUGGAGCGGCCGAUGUCUGAUUAGCUAGUUGGUGGGGUAAUGGCCUACCAAAGCUUCGAUCAGUAGCUGGUCUGAGAGGACGGCCAGCCACACUGGGACUGAGACACGGCCCAGACUCCUACGGGAGGCAGCAGUGGGGAAUUUUGGACAAUGGGCGCAAGCCUGAUCCAGCCAUGCCGCGUGAGUGAAGAAGGCCUUCGGGUUGUAAAGCUCUUUCAGCCGGGAAGAAAAGGCUGCGACUAAUAAUCGCAGUUCAUGACGGUACCGGAAGAAGAAGCACCGGCUAACUACGUGCCAGCAGCCGCGGUAAUACGUAGGGUGCGAGCGUUAAUCGGAAUUACUGGGCGUAAAGGGUGCGCAGGCGGUUUUGUAAGUCAGAUGUGAAAUCCCCGGGCUUAACCUGGGAACU